AGAUCUUGCUGUAUCUGGUUCUGUUCUUGAAAAGACAUGACAAAGCUCCAACACAGAUGACAGUGAAACUACCACAUCUAUUGUCAUAACAAUCCCAGGAUUGCCUUUCAAGGAAAAUCCAGCAGUUCACACAGACAGGCUUCAGCAGUGCUUAAAUUCCGAUCCUUUGAACACACAUAGAACUGAAAAUGAGCAACAGAUCACAGAAACAUGGACUCACUGAGGCUGUAAGGGACCACUGAAAAUGGCUCACACAGCUCCAACCACUAGCACUUAUCUUGUGUCCUGGGUGGAAGAAGGCACGACUUGGUUUUGAGCUACUGAAAACAUA